rnacentral:misc_RNA from 1 species
GAUGAAGAACGCAGCGAAACGCGAUACGUAAUGUGAAUUGCAGAAUUCAGUGAAUCAUCGAAUCUUUGAACGCAUCUUGCGCUCCUUGGUAUUCCUUGGAGCAUGCCUGUUUGAGUAUCAUGAGCAAAUCUCAAAGUCAAUUCCUUUUGUUGAUUCAAUUGGUUUUGCUUUGGACUUGGAGGCCUUGCAGAUUUCACAGUCUGCUCCUCUUAAAUGCAUUAGCUGGAUCUCAGUAAUUAUGCUUGUUUCCACUCGGCGUGAUAAGUAUCACUCGCUGAGGACACUGUUAAAAAGGUGGCCAGGAAAAUACUGAUUGAACCGCUUCUAACGGUCUAUUAAGUUAGACAAUUACCCUUAAGUUUGAUCUCAAAUCAGGUAGGACUACCCGCUGAACUUAAGCAUAUCAAUAAGCGGAGGA